CGUGCCCUAAUUGAGUGAUUGGAAUGAAAGAUGAAUGCAAUUUGAAUAACUUUCUCCUAUGCAGACAGAGGCUAGAUUUUAUACACCGUGGAUGUGUCCCCAGGAUGCAGCCGGGUGCUGUUGCGCGCUCAAGUUAUAUAAAGUAUAUUUACUGCGCCCCCAGUAAAAGCAAAACAAGAUGCAAGGGUGCUAGAUGGCGAAAACGUGGAGAACAAGAUCUAUGCCCAGUUGGAAGGCGGAGUAAGGAGGAAGACAGAAAUAACUGAAAGUGUGGUACUUACCCCAUUCCAGGAUCAAGGAAGGCGUUUCCUGGACAAGCUAAGUUGAGCAAUUUAAAAAAUCCGACCUGCCAGAAAAGGGGUAGAAAGCAUUUUCCCAGCCCCGUGGAGUAAUGCAGGGAUCCCGGAAGGGAAGUGGCCGGGGUGCCGGGGUGAGAUUAAAGCGACAAGGCUGAGGAGUGAGGAGUUGACAGUGGCCAUCUCACAGAACCGGGCUAGCAAUGUGCAGGAUUGCCGAUUGGAGAAGGAUCGACUUGGCUGCUACUAGGGGAAGGCUUGCAUCACAGUAUAACUCUCUUCUACAUUUUUUUUACCCCUUUGGGGUUUUGUUUUGUCUCACAUAGCCCAGGCUGGCCUGAAACUCACCAUGUAGCCCAGGCUGGCAUUGCACUUAAUCAUCCUUCCUCCACCUCUCAAGUGCCCGAGUUGAACGUUUCUUUUUUUUUAAGCAACUUCCUUGGUUGGCUAGAGAGUUCUAGGGUCUUUGCGGUUCAUUCUUUAUUAUAUCGAGAAGCAGGGGGGGGACGACACAAAAAUAUCUGAAGGCAAGCAGACUCCAAACGAACCAAAUCUAAGUUAUUUGAUAAUGUCACAAGUCUGUGUGUCCUGAGAGCUGGAUACACUUAUGUAAAACAACCCCGAAAAUGAGCCUCAACUGGUGCAUUACGGAGAUACUCAGGUCAAGACCACAUAGGAGCACCUUUUGAAAGCCUCUUAAUAGGACAGGCAUUCGAAAAGAUUGAAGAGAUAAAACCUUGAGGCUUUGAUAUAAAACAUUAGAACCGACCAGAAAAGAAUUCUGCCUUAAGUGUGCCGUCAGGUCCCGGUUUCAGGAAACGGCAUGCUGGAGCUUGUCCGGGGGAGGUGGCUGGUUGGGCGUUUAUCUUCCCGACAACACCCUGUGUGGCCAAUUAGAAACGCUGAGGGCGCCUUUAAAAGGCUUUCAAGCAGCGAAUGUCUCUUUCUUUCUCCUGCCCCAUAAUACUGCUUUCUGCCGGCGUAAAAGGCACAUGCGUCAGAACCGCUGAUGCAACCCGACGCUAAUAUCACGUUGCAUCAUCUGACCCAAGGUGUGGUACUUCCAAAACUGGUUUUUCCUGAGGCCGUCCUGAAGAAGAGCACUCGGGGGAUAACACCCACCAACUGGCCCUCCUCAGCGGGCGAUAAAAGUGUUUUCUGCCACUAUAUGCCUCGGUUCCACACUAUUUCAGACCCAGGGAAAGCCCGAGUGACUCCCCUAACUGAGACGGGGGUGCAGACGCACACACUCAUCAGCGAUGCAGGUCGUCUGCUGCUCAGCUUAUGUAACGAGUGUGACAGUGAGGUGCACCUACGGGGCAAGCUGGGAGUGCUCCCUCCAACCCCUACUCAAGCCUGGGAACUGUACUUCAUUUUAGUUGAGCAGCUGCUCGUAGAGAGCAGAAAGGAGAGCAGGGGCUGAGACUUCUAGGCCCUUCUCUCUGGGCACAGGUGACUGGCCUCCGUUUGUACAUGGAAGUGUGGCUAUCUUGCUGGUAGCCUUUUCUGCUGCUCCUCAAUAAAGGUUGGACUCAGCGACAGCCAGAACCCCUCCCAGAGGUGCGAUUCCAUGCAGCUCAACCUCAGAAAACUCCCCCUAGUCAAGUCUACAGUCUCAUUUACAUAAAAACGAAGCCAGCCACUAGUGGCAGAAACAGUUUUGGUUUUAGACCAGGUCGCAAGUAUUGCAGGCUAGCCUCGAACUCACAAUGUAACCAACGGUGCCCUUCACUUUGAUUCACCUGCCUCACCUCUGGAGUGUUGAGAUUACAGACAUGGAGGACCAUCAUAGUCCAUUUGUGUGGUGCUGGGACUUGAAUCGGGCUUCAUACAUGCUAGGCAAACACUCUACCCACCAAUCCACACUGCCAGCUCCAGACAGAAAGGAAUUCUGAUGGUCUGGGUAGGUCCAAUUGGACCACAAUAGAAUGAUACACAGUCUGCCUGUACUGUUGUACCAAGAAGCUAAAAGCUACUGGACCCUUGAAUAUGGCAGGUCCAUGCUGCAAUUAUAGCAUAAACACACUGGA